rnacentral:rRNA from 1 species
CCAAUAGCGUAUAUUAAAGUUGUUGCAGUUAAAAAGCUCGUAGUUGAAUUUCGGGAUCAAUAUAUUGGUCAUGCUUAGGUAUGUACUGGUAUUAUUGAUUUCUCCCUUCUGAAGAACCAUGAUGUCAUUUAUUUGAUGUCGUGGGGAAUCGGGACUGUUACUUUGAAAAAAUUAGAGUGUUUAAAGCAGGCUUUCGCUUGAAUACAUUAGCAUGGAAUAAUGAAAUAGGACGUUUGAUUCUAUUUUGUUGGUUUCUAGGAUCGACGUAAUGAUUAAUAGGGAUAGUUGGGGGCAUUAGUAUUCAAUUGUCAGAGGUGAAAUUCUUGGAUUUAUUGAAGACUAACUACUGCGAAAGCAUUUGCCAAGGAUGUUUUCAUUAAUCAAGAACGAAAGUUAGGGGAUCGAAGACGAUCAGAUACCGUCGUAGUCUUAACCAUAAACUAUGCCGACUAGGGAUCGGAUGAUGUUAAUUUUUUAAUGACUCAUUCGGCGCCUUACG